rnacentral:rRNA from 1 species
UACGUAGGGGGCAAGCGUUGUCCGGAUUUAUUGGGCGUAAAGAGCUCGUAGGCGGCUCGGUAAGUCAGGUGUGAAAUUUCGAGGCUCAACCUCGAAACGCCACCUGAUACUGCUGUGGCUUGAGUCCGGUAGGGGAGCGUGGAAUUCCUGGUGUAGCGGUGGAAUGCGCAGAUAUCAGGAGGAACACCGGUGGCGAAGGCGGGUCUCUGGGCAGUAACUGACGCUGAGGAGCGAAAGCGUGGGGAGCGAACAGG